CACUGCCACUGCAGUGGUUGCCCGGG
rnacentral:piRNA from 1 species